rnacentral:rRNA from 1 species
UACGUAGGGGGCAAGCGUUGUCCGGAUUUAUUGGGCGUAAAGAGCGUGUAGGCGGCCAGGUAGGUCCGCUGUGAAAACUCGAGGCUCAACCUCGAGAUGUCGGCGGAAACCAUCUGGCUAGAGUCCGGAAGAGGAGAGUGGAAUUCCCGGUGUAGCAGUGAAAUGCGUAGAGAUCGGGAGGAACAUCAGUUGCGAAGGCGGCUCUCUGGACCAGCACUGACACUGAGGCACGAAAGCGUGGGGAGCAAACAGG